AAAUUGAAGAGUUUGAUCAUGGCUCAGAUUGAACGCUGGCGGCAGGCCUAACACAUGCAAGUCGAACGGUAACAGGAAGCAGCUUGCUGCUUUGCUGACGAGUGGCGGACGGGUGAGUAAUGUCUGGGAAACUGCCUGAUGGAGGGGGAUAACUACUGGAAACGGUGGCUAAUACCGCAUAACGUCGCAAGACCAAAGAGGGGGACCUUCGGGCCUCUUGCCAUAAGAUGUGCCCAGAUGGGAUUAGCUUGUUGGUGAGGUAACGGCUCACCAAGGCGACGAUCCCUAGCUGGUCUGAGAGGAUGACCAGCCACAC
rnacentral:rRNA from 1 species